rnacentral:rRNA from 1 species
AGAACGAACGCUGGCGGCAUGCCUAAUACAUGCAAGUCGAACGAUCCCUUCGGGGAUAGUGGCGCACGGGUGCGUAACGCGUGGGAAUCUGCCCUUGGGUUCGGAAUAACUUCGGGAAACUGAAGCUAAUACCGGAUGAUGACGAAAGUCCAGAGAUUUAUCGCCCAGGGAUGAGCCCGCGUAGGAUUAGCUAGUUGGUGGGGUAAAGCUCACCAAGGCAACGAUCCUUAGCUGGUCUGAGAGGAUGAUCAGCCACACUGGGACUGAGACACGGCCCAGACUCCACGGGAGCAGCAGUA